rnacentral:rRNA from 1 species
AUUGAACGCUGGCGGCAGGCUUAACACAUGCAAGUCGAACGAGUGGCGGACGGGGGAGUAAUGCUUGGGAAUCUAGCUUAUGGAGGGGGAUAACUCCGGGAAACUGUAGCUAAUACCGCGUACCAUAGGAUGAGCCCAAGUGGGGUUAGGUAGUUUGUGAGGUAAAGGCGCACAAAGCCGACGUUCUCUAGCUGGUCUGAGAGGAUGACCCGCCACACUGGGAUUGAGACACGGCCGAGACUCCUACGGGAGGCAGCAGUGGGGAAUAUUGCGCAAUGGGGGCAACCUGACGCAGCCAUGCUGCGUGAAUGAAGAAGGCCUUCGGGUUGUAAAGUUCUUUCGGUAGCGAGGCGUUAACUACAGAAGAAGCACCGGCUAACUCCGUGCCAGCAGCCGCGGUAAUUC